AACUAUGGAAUGUUAGAGAAGAACCAUGGUUCCACACCGUAAAAAGAAAAUUAAGUAUGGAGUGUUAGAGAAGUGCCAUAUGUAGAGUGGACGUUUUAAAUGUAGAGUUCUUUGACAGGACUUUGUAAAGUGUGCCUUUCCGAAGGCUUGGAGACGAUGACCUGUGGAAAAUUGCAGGCUGUCCCCACAUCAGCCUUGCAUAGCAAUUCACCAGAGACUCCUGGCAUCCCUCAGUGUCCUCACUUUCUUGGUAUUUAAAAUACUCCAAAAUGGAAUGACACAUAGGCACCUGAUAUUUGAAAGAGAAUUUUACAAGGCCCUUCUGCUAACACUUGGGCCGGAACCUAGGGCUGGAAUUCCCAUAUGCUCUCCUUGACUGAGUGGUUGUUCUUUUCUCCGAGGUUAAGUGAAGUGCACACAUGUAUGUGCCGCACUGAGAAGCAAAGCAACGGCAGGACUACUGAAAGGAGCAAGAGGGAGGGAGAGAGCACUGACUGGGAGAGGGGCUGCACGGGUCUCAAGGGCACUCAGGCGAGUGUGAGUGCUUCCAAGGUGUGGCAAGAAACAUGGGUAGUAAAAUGUACGUAGCAUGAAAGCAUUUUUCUAAAAAUAAAUAAAUAAAUUUUUAAAAGCAGAGAACACUUCACUUAAAGUGAUGUUUUACAUGAUUCAAUGCAUGAAAACAGAAAAGGUUUUAAAUAGCCUAGAAAAUAAUUUAAGUAUAUAACUUCCCAGUAUUUUUUAAAGAUUUAAUUGAUUGUUGUUUAUGUGAGUGGGUGCAUACCCACAUACGCACAGAAGCCAGGAAUCUGUUGAAUCCCAAAGGCACAGGAUUAUGGUCAUUUACAGGAUCAAGGGCACCAGGAUCUGAACCCAGUAUCCAUGUUGCAGAGCAGGCGCACCUAACCUCAACACUCUCUCGGGCCCCAAUCUCUCUGACUUCUGUUUGUUUUUAGUUUUGGAACAGGGGUUUGCUCUAACGUGAGUUAGCCUCAGCCUCCUGAGUGAGUGCUCAGAAGACAGAAGUGCAUUGCCAUACCUGGCUCUAAGCAGUCACAUUCCUUACAUUAACUGUUCUAUGUUCUAUGUUUAGACACCAUGGUGACAGAAAGCUGAAAUCCAGGGUGACGACGCAUGGCUGGUGUUGCUGGGUAGCUUCAGCAUACUAGACAAGAAGGAUAUGGGGUAGGGGCACAGGAGGCUUACUGAAGACAGACAGAAGGACAGAAGCAGAAAGGCCAGAUGUUGCAGCCUCCUAGAGUAUGAAAAGAAGCAAAUGGAUUGAAGAGACUCUGAGUCCCGGACAGAGGGACAGGGAGGCCUCAGUAAGAUGCUGACUGCUCACGGUCCUAGCAACCACACAAAUGGUGCCAAGAAGCUGAGGAACGUUUCUAAUAGGACAAACGUGACAUGGAGGUUGAACUUAGUGUGGGUUUGUGGGACACAGAGAAACGGACAUGUCCCAUCAAUAGGUGACCAUACAGACCUAGAAUCACAAGACUCUUCCCUCAGUCAAUUCGAGAAUUCAGGUAAGCUCAAAGAACACAUACAAUUAAAGGACAAAGAGGACCCAAGUACCAAGGAGCCUCACAGCAGACAGAAGGCUGUCUCACUGUGGGCUAGCAGCCCAUUCGGGGCCGCCACUCCAUAGAGCCCUCUGAUCUCCCACUCUCUGGAAUAUGGGUGGGACAGUCGCAGCGGCCACUUCUGCUGUCUUGGACAACAUCUGGUAAAAGGAAAGGCCUCUCUUUUACGGCUUUCUUGUGCUCAGUCCCCACCACUCAUUGUCAGUAACUGUCUUCAGACUAACUGGCAGCUGGGACAUCUAUCAACCACUGAACAUCCAGGUUUUGAAAGGAGUCAAUCACGAGAGUCUAAUUAUGCCAGUUAGCUGAGUUAGAGUCAUAGCUGAGCAAAGACACCAGGAAGACACUGAGGAAGAAACAGAGUGGCAGUAAGGAAGAGGGCUCUGAUGCCACAGGCACCUCCUGGGCUUCCCUUCUACUGCUCCUGUUCCUCCCCAGCCCUGUCACACUUCUGUGGCAGUACUGAGCACACCACUGGUAUUUUAAUCAUGUUUGCCUCUGGCUCCCCACUGGACUGCACUCAAGGGCAGGGAUUGUCACAUCAACUCAGUGGCCAGCCCACAGACAGCACAAUACACACUUGUUGAAUGAGAGACUAACUGAAUGGGUAAAAUGGAAGCAGUGAGGGAGUAUUAAAUCAAAAAGACAUGUGCACUUGGGCGGAAACUGUAAUGGAAGAAAAAGAAGUCUUUACUUUAGUAGCAACUGAAAGGCCUCAGGAUAAGAACCUUGAGAAGUGUACUGAAAUUUGACAGCAGACCUUAAAGGUGACAGGAAAAAAAACAAAAAAACAAAAACAAAAACAAACAAAAACAAACAAACAAACAAAAAAACAAAAAAACCAGGAAUGGUGGCUCAUGCCUUUAUCUCAGAACUCAAGAGGCAGAGGCAGGAAGAUCUAUGAGUUCAAGGCCAGCCUGCUGUACAUCAGGAGACCUGUCUCAAACAACAACAGAAGGGAGCAGAAAAGCAAAUGCAUGGACCAGAAAGGAAGGAACAGAGAUAGAACCUGGAGCCUCAGAGCCAGCGCAGAUUACACAGACGUGCCCUCAGCUCUGCCCACGCCUGGGAAUCCUCAUUCCUCGGCAGUGUCAUGCCCACCAGGAUUCAGAACUUGAGAGUCAGUCUCAUCCUGUGAGGUUCGUUUAGAAAAUUCUGGAUUGUCUUUUGUGACACCUGUUCUAGAGCUGAGCAGCAUGUCUCAACCAUCGGAAUCUGAGUCCAUCUUUUUUAAAGAAGAGGGGUUGGUGAGGAAGCUCAGAAGGUAAGAGUGCCUCAUACACCACCCUGCCAGCCUGAGCUCCAUCCCUGCUGUCCUGAGGCAAGAGAGAACUCACUCCUUGUGAUGCUGUUGGCACCCCCAUCCCCCCAAGACAACAAGUAUCGAGUUUUAGAACACUAACACUGGAAGAGGAAAGAGGGUAGGGAUCCAGUGGUUCUAGGAGGUGCUGGAUUCUGACCACCAAAAGCCAACAAAUCAGUAGCUCCUAAUGCUGGCAGACUACAAGAGUGGAAAACUGGCCUCUUAUAGAAGAGAUACAAACCUACAUCCAAAGUGAGGGAAGAUCAGUCACCACAUGUGAAUGUGAAUGGUGCCAUCAGGUAUGUACAUAUGUGAAUGGUGCCAUCAACCACGGAACAGAGGAUUAAAUGCACCCCACUAUGGAUGUUGCCUGACCCCAGGGUAUCAGGAGAAAAGGUCACUUUGUUUACAGCUACUGCAUGCUGCAGCCUACCAUCUUUAAUCCUCUCAGGCGGUCGGGAAGCCUUUUCCAGUGAGUGAUGUGCACGGGAUAGCACAGUGUCCACCCUAUCAUUCAUCCAUUGGGAACCGCUUCUCAGUUUUUCAGGACAGGGCUUCUCUGUGUAGUCUUCGCUGCCCUGGAACUCGCUGUGUAGACCAAGGCAGACUUGAACUCAAAAGAGACCAGCCUACCUCUGCCUCCUGAGUGUAGGGAUUAAAGGUAUGCACCCAGGGUAGGACAAGUUUUUUAAAGCAGGAAAAAAAAAUAAUGUCUAGACCAAGUACAAAGCCACAUUAAGUAAUGCAUGAGUCAGGCCUUAUCAACAGGCCACACAAAAUUAGAGGAUCAAACCAAGCACAUCCUCUGGAAGUACAGCGACAAAUGAGAUUUUAUAAAGAGCUGAAGACUGUUGCUGGCAGCCAGGCCCCACUGUAAAACAAGGUGCGGAGGAGACGGCACUGAGCAGAGCACUCACUGCAGCACAGCACCAAGACAGCGGCCAUCUCUGGUCUGUCUCUCCUCUCUCUCUCCCCCCCUCUCUCCCCUUCUCUCUUUCCCUCUCCCUCUCUCUCUCCCUCUCCCUCUCUCUCUCUGUCCCUCUCCCUGUCUCUCUCCCUCUCUCUCUCCCUCUCUCCCUCUCUCUCUCUUUCCCUCUCUCUCUCCCUCUCUCUCUCCCUCUCUCUCUCCCUCUCUCUCUCCCUCUCUCCCUCUCUCUCUCCCUCUCUCUCUCCCUGUCCCUCACCCUCUCUCUCUCCCUCUCUCUCUCCCUCUCUCUCUCCCUCUCCUCUCUCUCCCUCUCUCCCUCCCUCUCUCUCCCUCUCUCUCUCUCUGUCCCUCUCCCUCUCUCUCCCUCUCUCUCUCCCUUUCUCCCCUCUCUCUCCCUCUCUCCCUCUCUCUCUUACUCUCUCUCACCCUCUCUUUCCCUCUCUCCCUGUCCCUCUCCCUCUCUCUCCCUCUCUCUUACUCUCUCUCUCACCCUCUUUCCCUCUCUCCCUGUCCCUCUCCCUCUCUCUCCUCUCUCUCCCUCUCUCCCUCUCUCUCCCUCCCUCUCUCUCCCUCUCUCUCUCACCCUCUCUUUCCCUCUCUCCCUGUCCCUCUCCCUCUCUCUCCUCUCUCUCCCUCUCUCUCCCUCCCUCUCUCUCUCCCUGCACCCCCCCCCCCCGCUGCCUCUCUCUGGGGAAGUUUGCCGUGCUAGAGGACACACACUCAGUGUCUGCCAGGAGGUGUGUGAUCUAGAGUUCCCGGUAUCAGGAGACUUGGGUUUUCACUGCCAUUUUGAUAGAACUGCCUCUGGGAUCCUGACUAUGCCCUGUCUUCAGGCCCCUCAUUGGUAACGAGGAGAUCGCACAAGUGUCUGUUCAUGAUCACUGUCUGACACUGCUAACACGGAGCAAGUCAGAAGGAGGAUAUCCAGCGAGGAGGAGCGGAGGCGCGGGCAUGAACAUAUAGAUGUCAGCAAGCAUCUGCGUAGGCCUGGCAGCUGAAGUGGUGUGUGAAUGACAUCAUUCAGAAAGCAUUUGGUGUGAGAAGAGAGGAAGGCCAGAGAAGGAAUCCUGGGAUAAAGUGACAUUUGGGGGAAGGGGGGUGGUUACUAAGAGAGCAGGGAAGUCAGGAAAGGGUGGGAAGGAAGGGAGAGGGAAAUAAUGGUGGACGCAGUCACAAAUGUGAAGUCAGCAUCGCAAACAGCUUCUUCACCAGCAGCCCAGGAACAAUCUACAGGAAGGAUGAGUGAGGGCAGAAGCUGAGGGUCAGGAUGGACAAACGAGUCUCUCUCAGUCCUCAGUCCAGGGAACAGAACAAAGUGUCCGUAGGCCAGAGUCCUGGGUGUGUUUUUAUCUAAAAAUGAAGGACCAAUGCGUAUAUUAACUAGAAAGCACCAUGAAACAAGGGCCGAGAUGCUCACUGAUGCAGCAGACACUGAGGUCCUCCUAGGCCAAGCCUCACUGUAGGGACACACUAAGUUUACAGUAAUGAUGCACGUACCCUGGAUGUGGCAGAACUUUGAUCCAAUGGUUAGCUCGUGCGUGGGCCUCCCAACCUAGGCUGGGUUGAUGGUGUCUGUUGUUGAGUGCUUACUGGGGUGCAAAUGUCCUGAGGGAGUUGGCAGCCUUGAGUCAAUAAUCUCCGAGAAGCAACAGUCUUUGUAGUCCACUUUAUAAAACAAAUGUAAUAUUUUCUGUGUUUGUCAGGACCUUAAUGGUCCUGCUCCCCGGAAAGAGAGGAAAAGCAGUACUGAGAGUAGCAUGAGGUUCCCUGCAACAGACCUGGCACAUGGACCUGGACCACUCUGUAAGAGAGCUGGCUGUAGGACGACAACUCUGCUAAGAGGGACAGAAUGAGAGUAGGGAUUUUGUUUUAUCUUGAAUUGUGUGUGCAUGUGUGUAAAUGUGUAUGUGAGGAUACAUGAAAACAUUUGUGUGCAUGUGUGAGAACACAAGUGUGGUGGGCACGCAUGCCAUGCUACCUAUGUGGGUACCUGCUAUACAAUUUCCUCAAUUGCAGAAUGCGUCAACAGAAUCCACACACACACACACACACACACACACACACACACACACACGCAAAGGACCCGUAUGUAUUCCUAGCACGCAGUACACAUACUACUCUAAUGGCAAAGGAACCUGAGAAAUGCCCCUAACAGGGCAUGCUGCCCAUACUGUCCACACUUGAGAGUUGAAGACACAGAAUCAGGACCAAAGCCAACCCCGACCACAGGAACGUCACCAGUGUGGGGCUAAACAUGCUCCUGGAAACAUCCAUGAUUUUCAGCUACUUCAUUUCUUUUCUUUUUUUUUUUUUUUUUUUUUUUUUUUACUUCUUUUUUCUUUUUUUUGGAGCUGGGGACCGAACCCAGGGCCUUGCGCUCGCUGAACAAGCGCUCUACCGCUGAGCUAAUCCCCAACCCCCAGCUACUGCAUUUCUUACAGGGAACUCAAACAUGAGUGGCAACUGAAGUUGGUCAGUGUGGAGGACAUUGCAUGCCCGAACAUAACCGCCUCCCAAGCCCCCACCCAAAACCAAAUAACUCAACUAUGUCUGAAUCUUCAUAUCCUGACUAAGAGCCAAUUCCAAUAAAAGGAGACUGGCUCAUGUAAAAUAUAUAUGAAAGAAAGAAAAAGAAACAUGACUAAGCUGCCUUGGAAUCAUAGCAAAUAACCUGUAAUUGAGAUACUUAUCUACCACUGCUGAACAAAUACAGUUUCGGAUUAGUUGCUAGAACAGUGGUUCUUAACCUUCCUAAUGCUGCGACCUUUUAUACAAUUCCUUAUGAUGUGUUGACCUCCAAUCAUAAAAUUAUUUUGUUGAGAGCCAGGUGGUGGUGGUGCACACCUUCAUCUCAGCACUCAGGAGGAAGAGGCAAGCGCAUCUCUGUGAGUUCAAAGCCAGCUUGGUCUACAGAGUGGGUUUCAGGACAGCCAGACCCAGAGAAACUCUGUCUUGAAAAAUC